rnacentral:rRNA from 1 species
UACGAAGGGGGCUAGCGUUGUUCGGAAUCACUGGGCGUAAAGCGCACGUAGGCGGCUUUUUAAGUCAGGGGUGAAAUCCUGGAGCUCAACUCCAGAACUGCCCUUGAUACUGGCGGUCUCGAAUCCGGGAGAGGUGAGUGGAACUGCGAGUGUAGAGGUGAAAUUCGUAGAUAUUCGCAAGAACACCAGUGGCGAAGGCGGCUCACUGGCCCGGUACUGACGCUGAGGUGCGAAAGCGUGGGGAGCAAACAGG